AGGAUUUUGAUGGGAAAGAGUUAAAAGUCAAAGUCAAACGAAAUCGUGUAACAGUUAAAAUACUUGGGGCGCUUUCUUUUUCCUUAGAGAAUCGGGCGUUCCAAAAUCCAACCUCCACUCUUCGAUUUCUUAAAAAGACAGCCAAUUUGCUCCAUAUCUCAAAUGAAAACCCACAUAGGAUAAGAAAAGUUGGGAGGAUUAAAUGCGAGGAAAGCGGUAGAAGACAUGGCCCCGCAAUUGAUUUGUGUAAUGCAUCCUAGAUUUCCAUGGAGUGGUCAUCUGGAUUAACGUGUUUGUUUUGUAGAAUUGUGAAAUGCCUCAGUAUCUGAAGAUUCUCGAGCAUCCUAGGAUGUUCGGAUGGAGGGCAUCUCGAGAGUUAUGGAUGUCCUCCUAAAACAUGAGUUUUCCAAAUUUCCGAGUUGAGGACAUUCCCAUUUUACUUUUUUGUCAUUCCUCAUAUAUAUAUAUAUAUAUGUAUGUAUGUAUAUAUGUAUGUAUAACUCAAAUAAAUAUUGUCAACCAUGUAUAUCAUAUAUGUUUAGUUA